GUAUCCUGGCUCAGGAUGAACGCUAGCUACAGGCUUAACACAUGCAAGUCGAGGGGCAGCAUGGUCUUAGCUUGCUAAGGCUGAUGGCGACCGGCGCACGGGUGAGUAACACGUAUCCAACCUGCCGUCUACUCUUGGCCAGCCUUCUGAAAGGAAGAUUAAUCCAGGAUGGGAUCAUGAGUUCACAUGUCCGCAUGAAUUAAAGGUAUUUUCCGGUAGACGAUGGGG
rnacentral:rRNA from 1 species